rnacentral:rRNA from 1 species
UACGGGGGGGGCAAGCGUUGUUCGGAAUUACUGGGCGUAAAGGGCUCGUAGGCGGCCAACUAAGUCGGAUGUGAAAUCCCCAGGCUCAACUUGGGAACUGCAUCCGAUACUGGAUGGCUUGAAUCCGGGAGAGGGAUGCAGAAUUCCAGGUGUAGCGGUGAAAUGCGUAGAUAUCUGGAGGAAUACCGGUGGCGAAGGCGGCAUCCUGGACCGGCAUUGACGCUAAGGAGCGAAAGCCAGGGGAGCAAACGGG